UGGGAUCAGACCAUCCAGAGACUGCAAAGAGAUGUGUUGCUCUCUCACCAGGCCCGUGACUCUCAGGCUGCUCAGCUGGACAUCCAGGAGCAAGGAUCUUUCAGUCGCUGCCUGAACUGCAGGAGAGCCGUCUGGAUCUCCGGAGGAACAGAGUCGCAUGCAGCAAUACCAAAAGCAGCUUCAGAGCAAGACUCAGCAGGCCCAGCAGCUCCAGAGUCAGGUGUAGCUGCAAUGGCAGAGAAAUGCAGCAUGGGGCAGAUUGGCUGCAGAAAGUACUCAGAUGCGGCACCGAUGUAUAGACCUGGAGGCUCAGCUGGGGCAAAGACCUACCACAGUUAUAGACUGGACACUAAGAGCGAGACAACCAUUGUGGGCUCACCUACAUAGAGUCACGGACUGAAGACAUCCUGUCGUUGGUACAUGCAGAGUUGUCCAACAUGGCUGCCUCAAUCAGCAGGUGCAGUACUACCUACUGCUCAGACUUCAGCCAACAGAACAACACAGUGAUUUUACAAGGAGGCGAAGAGGCAGGAAGAAGAACAGAUUUCUGAGCUACAGGUGGAGAUAGACAGGCCAAACACGUUGCUGCAGGAUAAGAGGCAAGAACUGCAAAGAAAGAGGUGUGGCCCCUUCAGGAGGCAAGAGAUUGGCUGCAGGUGGAGGUUCUGUCCAGGGCCAGUGCAGUCAGCAGGAGAUACCACUCAAGAGCAGCGGGUUACCACACUGGAACAAGACCUGGAGGCUGCUCACAGCCAAACUACUGAAAGGAAGCAGGUGCCAGCUGAUACGGCAGUGCAGAGAAAGGGUGGACUACUGCAUUAGAUGAUGUAGAAAGAGGCUGUGAAGACAGUGAAGCAGCAAACAGCUGGAGGCCCACAACCUGGUGGCAGUACUUCACUGAUAGAGCAAAGAGACCCAGCAUGGCCUCCCCUCAGCCCAGAUGCCGCAGCAUACACAGGGGCUCACUGAAGACAAAGGCCACUGCGUUGACUCUGCCCAGGAACGAGGGGAGAGAACUGUUGCCAGCAGGUGGGCAUCAGCAGACUCAGGAGUAGCCGGCAGAUGUGGUGAAUACCGAGCAGCUCCAGAGCAUUAACCGCAAAGCUACAGGUCCAAGGUGGAGGUUUUUGUGUUCGGUAAGACAGCUCUCAUAUCCACAAGAUGCUCUCCACUGUCAACCAGUUGGUCCUGGAACGUGCACAUGAAUCCACCUGCAGGAGGGUGUGGAAGCUUGACAAAUUGAGGUCAGGAGAUUAAAGCUGAGGUUGACGAGAAGAGGAUUGAAGAGGAGAAGAUCCAGCUACUGUAUAUCGACCAGGCCUUAGUGACAUAGCAGCUGCAGGAAACCUGCUCAGUGUACUGGUAGGUCAAUUCAGACUUGUGAUAGUGACUGGCAAAGGACACUAACCUAAUACAUAUGAGGCAUCAUUCGGGCCAGGUAUUGAAUCUCAACCGACCAAAAGUAGAGCAAGUUGACAUGGAUGUGUGUUUAGUUAUUUUUUACUUAUUCUUAAAAUGUUGCCGGUUUCUUGUAACGUUGCUGGUUUGUUUGGCUUCUUUUAUUUAAAGGGUUACUUAAAGCAUCAGAGGCUGGGAUAUACUAACUUUUGGUCUUUAGUAAGGGUCAAGUUCCAAAACUCUGGAUCCUGCAAUUCCCAUAAUGCAACACAAUACCAUCAUUAAUGUUAUUUUGUCUCUGCUAUCUUCAGAGAAUUCAACUUGUUUCUUUAAAACAAAAAUAAUGAUUAAGUGCCUUGUAACAUCCCUUGUUUUUAGCUGCCUUAAUGCUCUUUGAUCAUCCAUUUAUUGCCUGUGUUGUCUCUUGUGCUUUAGCUGUGCUCUGACUGCUAGAGGAGUUAUGAUUAGUCAAGCAAGGAGCCCACAGAAGAGGAGAAGAGUAUCUGCUACCAACCUCCCCAAGCCUGCGUGCUCCCAGCAGCCAUGCGUGCAGAGUUGGAGAGUUCCUCCAGGUCCAGGAGAGAGAGCACCUAAACAGAUUUGGAUGGAUUCCACCUUUCUAAUCCCAGAGACUGACAUUUAUAUAUCUGAUAAGCCCCUAAAACAAAUGAAAGGGGGAAGCUUCAGUUAAACUUCAAGUUUUCAUGAAUGAUUUUAGAGUCUUGAUUAUGUGUUGAACAAUUUUUGGUGUCCAAAAAAGCUAUAAAGUUGUAUUUUGUAUAUGUCGCUGAAGUAGACAGUUUUGUUAUUUUGUGUCUUUGUUGAGUUUCUUGAUGACUUAAUGGAUCAGUGUGUAGGAUUUAGUGCCAUCUAGCAGUGAAGCUGCAUAUUGCAACUAACUGAACACCGCUCAUUUAUUUGAUGUAUUCAGUAUUUGAUGAGCUGGGAAUGAGAACAGGCUGUGAAGUGUGGAGGAGGAACUAUGGUGGUUGCAAAACCCUAUAUACAACCAGUGAUUGGUUUGUCCAGUCCAGGCUACGGUAGAAACAUGGCAGUUCAACAUGGGAGACUUCAUUGAAAGUGACCUGAUGCCGUUGUAGAUUAAAAAAAAUUCUAAGGUAACGAAAACACGAUGAUUCCUAUAUUUCAUUAUACACUAAUGAAAACAUACCUGUGAAUAUUAUAUUCCAUUUCUACCGAUAGAUCCUCCUAAAUGUGUAUGUAUGUCCUGAUAUAACUUCUGUUAUGAAUUGACGCUAUACAAAUAAAAUUGAAUUGAAUUAAA